CAACUUACCCUCUGGACUGGCAUAACCCCGGGAAACUGGGGAUAAUUCCAGAUAGACCAGAGUUGCUGGAAUGCUCUUUGGUUAAAAGUUUUUAACGCCAUAGGAUGGGUCUGCGGUCUAUCAGGUUGUAGUGGGUGUAACGUACCUACUAGCCGACUACGGAUACGGGUUGUGAGAGCAAGAGCCCGGAGAUGGAUUCUGAGACACGAAUCCAGGCCCUACGGGGUGCAGCAGGCGCGAACACUUUACAAUGCGGGAAACCGCGAUAAGGGAACCCCGAGUGCCAGUACUAAGUGCUGGCUGUCUAGAUGAAUAAAUCUCAUUUAAUAGCAAGGGCCGGGCAAGACCGGUGCCAGCCGCCGCGGUAACACCGGCGGCCCGAGUGGUAACCGAUUUUAUUGGGUCUAAAGGGUCCGUAGCCGGUUUGAUAAGUCCUUUGGGAAAUCUGGUAGCUUAACUAUCAGGCUUCUAAGGGAUACUGUCAGGCUUGGGACCGGGAGAGGUAAGGGGUACUCCAGGGGUAGGAGUGAAAUCUUGUAAUCCCUGGGGGACCAUCUGUGGCGAAGGCGCCUUACCAGAACGGGUCCGACGGUGAGGGACGAAAGCUAGGGGAGCAAACCGGAUUAGAUACCCGGGUAGUCCUAGCUGUAAACGAUGCUCGCUAGGUGUCAGGCACGGUGCGACCGUGUCUGGUGCCGCAGGGAAGCCGCUAAGCGAGCCACCUGGGAAGUACGGUCGCAAGGCUGAAACUUAA
rnacentral:rRNA from 1 species